rnacentral:rRNA from 1 species
AUGGGGUCCAUCCUGUGCUGCUUGCGCGGCCCCGAAGACGACGACGAGGCGCCGGGUUGCUGCGCCUGCCUGCCAUGGCCGUUCUCGAACAACACUCAGAACCCGGCGGGCGCCGCCGCUCGUCAUCCUAGAGCGUGCGCACGGGUUGCGCCGGUUCCUCCCGAGUCCUCCACCGGCUCAGGGCAGGAGGAUCCAUUGAACACCUUCCGCCGCCCUCCUAUGCCUUUGCCUUACGAUGAUCCUCGGUUCAGACAUCCCGCGGAGAAAUCUAUUCUGCUCGGAGAGAGAAGCAAUGUUGACACCGGAUCGACUCGCGAUGGUGAUGAGAAGGCUGAUGGACCGUCGUCCCUGGAAGCUCGGCCGGGAGGGGGGAAACCCGGGGGAACUCAAGUCUGUGCUGAUUGUGAUGAGGAUGAGUGUCCAAUAUGCCUCGAAGAGUAUGAUUAUGAGAAUCCGAAGGUGCUGCUGCAAUGCAACCAUGAUUUCCAUCUUGGCUGCAUUUACGAGUGGAUGGAAAGAAGCCAGUCGUGCCCGGUCUGUGCCAUGGUGAUGAUGUUCAAAGAGGACCAAUGA